AUUGAACGCUGGCGGCAUGCCUUACACAUGCAAGUCGAACGGUAACAGGUCUUCGGAUGCUGACGAGUGGCGAACGGGUGAGUAAUACAUCGGAACGUGCCUAGUAGUGGGGGAUAACUACUCGAAAGAGUGGCUAAUACCGCAUGAGAUCUACGGAUGAAAGCAGGGGAUCGCAAGACCUUGUGCUACUAGAGCGGCCGAUGGCAGAUUAGGUAGUUGGUGGGAUAAAAGCUUACCAAGCCGACGAUCUGUAGCUGGUCUGAGAAGACGAUCAGCAACACUGGGACUGAGACACGGCCCAGACUCCUACGGGAGGCAGCAGUGGGGAAUUUUGGACAAUGGGCGCAAGCCUGAUCCAGCAAUGCCGCGUGCAGGAUGAAGGCCUUCGGGUUGUAAACUGCUUUUGUACGGAACGAAAAGCCCCGGGUUAAUACCCUGGGGUCAUGACGGUACCGUAAGAAUAAGCACCGGCUAACUACGUGCCAGCCGCCGCAGUAA
rnacentral:rRNA from 1 species